GUUAAAAAAAAUAAGGCCCAAAGGAAGGAAAAUCGAAAAGCAAGAAAAACCCAAAUAUCUUAAAUCUAAUGUGUUCCCCCAACAAGGAAAACCCUAACACGCGUUGCCACCACUGUCAAAUCCAAAAACGACGAUCUGUGCUCUGCUCCGGCAACGUUCUGCACCAGGGACUUCUUCGGCAACGAUCUGCUCCAGCGAAUGCUCCGGCGACGAUCUGCUCCGGCGAUGAUCUGCUCCAGCGAAUGCUCCGGCAACGAUUUUCUCGGUGUUCUCCUCCGACGAGAUUGUGUGCUGUGAACUGAAACGCUAUCUCCAGCGACGAUCUCCUCUGGCGGCGCGUUCUCCUCCUUUAGCAAGCUUCUAUGAUUUGGAUUUGAUAUGAAGAUUGUCACUCAUCUCAUCACCGUCAUUCAUCUCUGCGCCAUCGCAAGCAACACCGUUUUCAAUCUGGCUCAUCUCCUCGCCGUGGCAAGCAAUGCCGUUGUUGCUGCCUUCAGCAAGCUUCUACAGUUUGGUUUCGCGAUCUCUAUCACUUCUAAUAGAGGUAUAUAAAAGAUCAUAAAGGUGUUUGAACAAUUUUUCUUCUGGAUUGGAAGCUUUUGCCCUCAGAAAUUCUAAAGAUUCUGGUCCUUAGGAUUGAAACCAUGACAGAGCAACAAAGGUCAGACAUAAGCAACCUUGGAAAAUCUACUGCAAUGGAAAGAUUGGCAGGUUUAGUGAGCUUUGUGAACCAAGUAAGAAAUUUACUUCAUUUUCUUGAAUGAAAAGCCAUUAGUUAUAUUCAAUUUAACUUCCACCGGUUUAUUAUUUUACCACUGUGUCAGUGACAGCAAUGAUUGAACAUAAUUCUGCAAUAAAGAAUAACCCCAUUUGAUUUCAACAAAUUUGUUUUAGAAGUGAUGAAACUAGGAAACAAUAUAGUGUUGUUCCAACUCAUGUUACUUAAAGGAAAAGAAAAUAAACAAAAGAAGGAAAUGAAACAUCUUCAUUCACUAACUUGAAGAUUGAGCACUAGAAAAUUGAAGGAAGCUUUACUAUGUUUGAAACUUGACAAGAUUGUCAUUUAUAUGCUCAUACCUUAGUUUUGGCAUCCAGUUAACAUGGGCUCUUGGUCAAUGUUGCAGUAUUAAAGGUGUUGGAAGCUGAUAAAUGCUUGGAGCUUGUUUUCGAGAUUCCUCUCCUAUACUAUUAUUUUCUAAACUAGUUUAUACUUCUGAAACCCUUCUAAUAAUAUAAGUUUCAAUUCUUAAUUUCAUAGGUAUACAGGACGAGGUCUUUUUAUGGAUCCUCCUUCUGUCUUCAUGAGCAACAAUAUGUGGAGUCUUUUGUUGCCUGAAGGGUUUCAGAUUGAAAAUCUGAAACUUGGUAACAUUAGUAAGUUUCAAAUUCCAACACUAAUUCCUUUCUUGUUUAGAAUAUCAUCAUAUUCUUUUUUGACAUUUUCACAGCCUUUGCUUCACGUGACAAAAUAUUUCUCAAGGGCAGGGAUACUUCUGAGCUUGUUGUAGUCUAUUCAUCUUACAUAUCAAAACUGUUAUCUAGAUAUAGAGGGUCCAAUAAUAUUGGAGCAUUGAUUAUGGAACCAGGCAAGAAUUUUAUGAGCUUGCAUAAUUUGAAGUCCUCAUUUUAAUUCCAAACUCUCCUCCUUUCCCUCUAAUGAUCUUAUCUGUUGAUAUUACUUUCUCCAAUGAAUAAAUAUGAAUGAGAAAAACAGAACAAGAAUCGGUUACUCACUUAACACACAUCAAUGUGAUAAUAUAUUAGAGCUAUGCUCACAGUAAUGCAAUUUUCUAUGUAAGGAAAAUAUUGCAUAUGGUCUCUACUCUCUAGAUCUUCCAAAAAGAAAAAGUUUCUUGCUUUUCUGUCUUGGUUUCUUAAGACGUUUUCAUUCUUUAGUUGUUCCAUUGUCUAUUUAGAUUUUUAAAUUAAAAUAGUUGUACCUACUUCCCUAAAUUUCUAUAAUCUCAUUUGGACCUAAACUUUUCUUUAGUUAUACAAGGUGCUGGAGGAAUGCAUAUGGUUGAUCCAUUGUUUCAGCGAGUACUUGUUAAUGAGUGUUGGAGUAGAAAUAUUCCAGUUAUCUUUGAUGAGAUUUUGUAGUCAAUGUUUUAUUUUUAUGCUACUAGAAUUUAUAGUUAAUUUAAAAUUUAAUAUUUAGGUUUAAAACAUUGAUAAGUAUUAGUUAAAAAAUAUUAUAAAUAUAAAGUAAACAUUGAUUUUGUAAGUUUUUAUGUAUUUAAUGUAUUGAGAAAACUAAAUUUUCCUUGUUUAAUUUACUUCCUUUACUAAUACUCUUAAUUCACUUUUUAGUCAAAUGAUAGAUAACUACACAGCAAAUUUGUGAGGAAAAAAAUUAAAAACUUUAGGUUAUUAGCUAACCUUUAUAAUUAUAUAUACACAACUAUAUUUAAGUUACUAAAAACUUUAUUGACAACUAUAAUUUUCUUAUACCAGGAGGGUAUGAUAAAGCUGAUAUAUUUCUUGUAUUCAGGAUUUGGCAGUCGUGGCUUUGCUGUACUCAUUCCUCUUAUUUCACCCAAUUCUUCCAAAGGAAGGCUGGUCUUUGUUCAUGUGGACAUGGACGAUGAAGAUGCUGGAAAGCCUAUAGCAAGCUUCUUUGGCAUCACCGGAAAUAAAGUAUAUGAGAAACAAAGUACUUAGAGAUGUAAUUCAGUAUAUAUUGCAAAG